UAUGGCAGAUUAGUGCAUUGGAUUUAAACUCCUCUUAUAAAGAUUACCUCUUUUAUUAAAA
rnacentral:tRNA from 1 species